rnacentral:lncRNA from 1 species
CAUCCCUCGCAUUUGCAAAGCUCAGAAAUCUCAAGUUCAUAAAAUACUCUUUCGCGUUCGUGACCCGCCGAAUGCGUUUGCGAAAGUCAGCUUCCCGAAGCUAUCGCGUUCGUGUUAUCCUCUAUGCGUGCACAUAGGCCAAAUGGCUUUGGGCCCAUCUCUCAUUUACCUUCUUCCCAUUCGCGUAGCUUUGGCUGCGUUUGUGAAGGCUUAACCAACUACUGCCUUGCAUUCGCGUCUACUACCUUGCGUUCGCGAAGGUCAAACUCAGCAGCCUCAUAAACUCCCCUUCGCGAAUGCCAAACUUCUUUCUCGUUUGCGAAGAAGGAAACCAGACACCAGAUAUCAGCAGUUCCAAAACAGCCCAAAAUGCUCUGAAGCACACUCGAGGCCCCCGGGACCCUAUCUAAUUAGUCCUAUAACAUAACACAGACCUGCUCGAGGCCUCAAAUCACAUCAAACAACAUCGAAAUCACGAAUUGCAACUCAAUUCAAUCUUUAUGAACUUUAGAACUUCAAACUUCUAAAUGUGAUGCCGAAACCUAUCACAUCUCAUCCGAUUGAAAUUAAAUUUUGCACACAAGUCAUAUUUGACAUUAUGGACCUAUUUUAACUUCCGAAAUCAGAAUCCAACCCCGAUAUAAAAAAGACUACUUUCGGUCAAACUUCUUAAAAACCUUCAAAUUUCUAACAUUAGCCAAAUGACUCUGCAAUGACCUAAGGACCUCCGAAUUCACUUCUGAUCGCUCACAACACCAGAAUCACCAUACAGAGCUAUUCAUAGACACGAAAUCCCAAAUGGACAUUGAUAACACCGAAAUGCACUUCAACCCAACUUAUGAAAUCCUUCCAAAAAUGCUAACUUCCACAAUAUGCUGAAGCAUUCCUGGGUCUUCCAAAAUCCGAUCCGGCCGUACAACCAAGUCGGAAAUCAUCAUACGAACCUGUAGAAACCUUAGAAUCCCUAUUUCGAGGUCAUUUUACUUAAAAAUCUAAUCUUAUUCAAUUCUUUCAACUUAAAAUUUCUUAAAUGAAAAUUCUCAGAUAUUAAAUGUAUACUCAUGGACUGAUGAAAAGAGUAUGAUAUGGUAUGUGGGAUUACAAGUGAACAACUAC